rnacentral:rRNA from 1 species
GACUACUGGGGUAUCUAAUCCUGUUCGAUCCCCACGCUUUCGUGCAUCAGCGUCAGUAAUGGCCCAGUAAGCUGCCUUCGCAAUCGGUGUUCUGUGUAAUAUCUAAGCAUUUCACCGCUACAUUACACAUUCCGCCUACCUUGACCAUACUCAAGACUAACAGUAUCAAUGGCAAUUCUACAGUUAAGCUGCAGGUUUUCACCACUGACUUAUUUGUCCGCCUACGCACCCUUUAAACCCAAUAAAUCCGGAUAACGCUCGCAUCCUCCGUAUUACCGCGGCUGCUGGCACGGAGUUAGCCGAUGCUUAUUCCCAGGGUACCGGCAAGCCGAUACUCGUAUCUGGUUUUCUUCCCCUGGAAAAGAAGUUUACAACGCAUAGCGCCUUCUUCCUUCACGCGGGAUGGCUGGUUCAGGCUUGCGCCCAUUGACCAAUAUUCCUCACUGCAGCCUCCCGUAGG